rnacentral:rRNA from 1 species
UUCGAAACUGGCAGGCUAGAGUCUUGUAGAGGGGGGUAGAAUUCCAGGUGUAGCGGUGAAAUGCGUAGAGAUCUGGAGGAAUACCGGUGGCGAAGGCGGCCCCCUGGACAAAGACUGACGCUCAGGUGCGAAAGCGUGGGGAGCAAACAGGAUUAGAUACCCUGGUAGUCCACGCCGUAAACGAUGUCGACUUGGAGGUUGUGCCCUUGAGGCGUGGCUUCCGGAGCUAACGCGUUAAGUCGACCGCCUGGGGAGUACGGCCGCAAGGUUAAAACUCAAAUGAAUUGACGGGGGCCCGCACAAGCGGUGGAGCAUGUGGUUUAAUUCGAUGCAACGCGAAGAACCUUACCUACUCUUGACAUCCAGAGAACUUAGCAGAGAUGCUUUGGUGCCUUCGGGAACUCUGAGACAGGUGCUGCAUGGCUGUCGUCAGCUCGUGUU